rnacentral:tRNA from 18 species
GCCGCUAUGGUGAAAUUGGUAGACACGCUGCUCUUAGGAAGCAGUGCGAUAGCAUCUCGGUUCGAGUCCGAGUGGCGGCA